rnacentral:rRNA from 1 species
CCUACGGGUGGCUGCAGUGGGGAAUAUUGGACAAUGGGGGGAACCCUGAUCCAGCCAUGCCGCGUGUGUGAAGAAGGCCCUCGGGUUGUAAAGCACUUUCAGUGAGGAAGAACGCCUGGUGGUUAAUACCCAUCAGGAAAGACAUCACUCACAGAAGAAGCACCGGCUCACUCCGUGCCAGCAGCCGCGGUAAUACGGAGGGUGCGAGCGUUAAUCGGAAUUACUGGGCGUAAAGCGCGCGUAGGUGGCUUGAUAAGCCGGUUGUGAAAGCCCCGGGCUCAACCUGGGAACGGCAUCCGGAACUGUCAAGCUAGAGUGCAGGAGAGGAAGGUAGAAUUCCCGGUGUAGCGGUGAAAUGCGUAGAGAUCGGGAGGAAUACCAGUGGCGAAGGCGGCCUUCUGGACUGACACUGACACUGAGGUGCGAAAGCGUGGGUAGCAAACAGGAUUAGAUACCCCAGUAGUC